UCGAGAAUCAUUCGCAAUGGGCGAAAGCCUGACGGUGCGACGCCGCGUGGAGGAUGAAGGCCCUAGGGUCGUAAACUCCUGUCAUCAGGGAGUAAUGGCUCAUAUAGUAACUGAUAUGGGUCUUGAUAGUACCUGAAGAGGAAGGGACGGCAAACUUCGUGCCAGCAGCCGCGGUAAUACGAAGGUCCCAAGCGUUGUUCGGAUUUACUGGGCGUAAAGAGUCUGUAGGCGGUGGGGUAAGUCAGAUGUGAAAUCCCGGGGCUCAACCCCGGAACUGCCUUUGAUACUGUUAGUCUCGAGUCCGGAAGAGGUGAGUGGAAUUCCUAGUGUAGAGGUGAAAUUCGUAGAUAUUAGGAAGAACACCAGUGGCGAAGGCGGCUCACUGGUCCGGUACUGACGCUGAGGUGCGAAAGCGUGGGGAGCAAACAGGAUUAGAUACCCUUGUAGUCCCUGAGCGGGCUGGCAAGGCGCAU
rnacentral:rRNA from 1 species